rnacentral:rRNA from 1 species
GGGGGGGGGGGGGGGGGGGCGGGGGGCGGGGGGGGCGAGCGGGCCGGGCGGGGGGGGUGGCGGGCGGGUGGGUGGCACGGGGGAACGUGCCGUGAGGUGCGGGAUAACUCAGGGGAACUUGUGCUCAUACCGAGUGGGGCCGGCGGGGGAAAGAUUUAUCGCCUUGAGAGCUGCCCGCGUCUGAUUAGCUAGUGGGUUGAGGUACUGGCCCACCAAGGCGACGAACAGUAGCUGGUCUGAGAGGAUGAUCAGCCACAUUGGGACUGAGACACGGCCCAAACUCCUACGGGAGGCAGCAGUGGGGAAUCUUGCGCAAUGGGCGAAAGCCUGACGCAGCCAUGCCGCGUGAAUGAUGAAGGUCUUAGGAUUGUAAAAUUCUUUCACCGGGGACGAUAAUGACGGUACCCGGAGAAGAAGCCCCGGCUAACUUCGUG